rnacentral:rRNA from 1 species
CCCCAGUUCGGAUUGGGGGCUGCAACCCGCCCCCAUGAAGUCGGAGUUGCUAGUAAUCGCGGAUCAGCAUGCCGCGGUGAAUGCGUUCCCGGGCCUUGUACACACCGCCCGUCACACCACCCGAGUCGUCUGCACCCGAAGCCGCCGGCCCAACCGUUUUACGGGGGGAGGCGUCGAAGGUGUGGAGGGUGAGGGGGGUGAAGUCGUAACAAGGUAGCCGUACGGGAACGUGCGGCUGGAUCACCUCCUUU